UACGUAGGGUGCAAGCGUUGUCCGGAAUUAUUGGGCGUAAAGAGCUCGUAGGCGGUUCAGCAAGUCGGGUGUGAAAACUCUGGGCUCAACCCAGAGACGCCACCCGAUACUGCUGUGACUAGAGUCCGGUAGGGGAGUGGGGAAUUCCUGGUGUAGCGGUGAAAUGCACAGAUAUCAGGAGGAACACCGGUGGCGAAGGCGCCACUCUGGGCCGGCACUGACGCUGAGACGCGAAAGCGUGGGGAGCAAACAGG
rnacentral:rRNA from 1 species